CCACUGGCCCGAUUCGGAAUGGCGUCACACCACAGUCAGUUCAGAGCCUGGGGAACAAAGCCUGCCAAGCAACGGAACUGUGCGCAUCAUGAAUGAAAAACUAUAAAAGAAGCAGAGCCCUGCAAUGUUGGGUUUGAUGCUGCAGAGCAUAUAGGCAUUGGAUGGCAAAAAGAGAAGCAACAGAACUGUGGACACCGUUGGGUUUCUAUGCCUUUUCGUGACUUGCGAUUGGCAGGGGCUCUAGGGCCUUUCUACAACUGGGAAGUGAAGCAGGAGCUGAUGGGCUCCUACAAGAAGGAGGUCGUCACCGUCAACGGACAGACUUCCGGCCCCACCAUCCAGGCACAUCAGGGAGAGAGUUUUCGUCAGACUUGCCAACAUUUUGAGCGAGAAUGUGGCGAUUCAUUGGCACAACACCCAACAGAUUCAAAGUCUAGAGAGCGAUGGAACAGGUGACGUCAUUCCAAGGCCCAUUUCAGAAAAACUUUCACCUAUAUUUUCAUCAUCCAUCAGCUUGGAAAAUCUCAGUUACGACUC